rnacentral:lncRNA from 1 species
GGCAGACACCUUAUCUACUCCCUGACCUGUGCUAGAGCCUGCAGCGAGCUGAGGGCUGUCUCCAGGAAUUACAUUUGGUCACAAAAUCAUAUAUUGCUUCUGAAAUGUGAGGACUCAAUGUGCUUGCAUCGCUGCAGCAGCUCCCCUCCAGUGCUCCGGGCCAGGCGAGCAUUUCCAGUGCCAGCAGAACUCCACACCGACGCGCCACCUGUGCACACGCACCAUCCGAGUGAAGGAAAACACGCAAGAUUUCCAUUUCCAAGGCUGCUCACUUGAGCUAUUUUUAAACAACUUAGAAGCGGUGCAGACUUUGCUGGGCCUGAGUGCUGUAUUGAGAAUAGAAUCAGCUUCUUGUUUUCUAAUAUUUUGAAAAUGUAGUUGAAUUAGUGAGUCUUCACUGCAAUAUUUAACAAAAUGCAAUUAUUUUUGUUAAAAUCGAGGAUGAAGUUUCAGUGAAACACUUACCUGUAGUAGUGGUUUAAGAAAAAACAAACCAACCCACACCCCAAAAAUCCAAUAACCAGCCCAAACAAUGCACCCUAAUCACACUUUUACAGCUCCAAACAGCAGGACAUCUGUGCUCCAGCAUCUGCAAUUAACUCCUUA